rnacentral:rRNA from 1 species
GUGGGGAAUAUUGGACAAUGGGCGCAAGCCUGAUCCAGCCAUGCCGCGUGAGUGAUGAAGGCCCUAGGGUUGUAAAGCUCUUUCACCGAUGAAGAUAAUGACGGUAGUCGGAGAAGAAGCCCCGGCUAACUUCGUGCCAGCAGCCGCGGUAAUACGAAGGGGGCUAGCGUUGUUCGGAAUUACUGGGCGUAAAGCGCACGUAGGCGGACAUUUAAGUCAGGGGUGAAAUCCCAGAGCUCAACUCUGGAACUGCCUUUGAUACUGGGUGUCUUGAGUAUGGAAGAGGUAAGUGGAAUUCCGAGUGUAGAGGUGAAAUUCGUAGAUAUUCGGAGGAACACCAGUGGCGAAGGCGGCUUACUGGUCCAUUACUGACGCUGAGGUGCGAAAGCGUGGGGAGCAAACAGGAUUAGAUACCCUUGUAGUCC